CCGAGUCUCGUACUCCAAACCCUUUGUGAACAUACCUGUUUCGUUGCUUCGGCAGGCCCGGGGGUCACUCCCCGGCCCGCCGCCGGCACCCCCUCGCCGGGGCGCAUGGCGGGCCUGCCGGAGGGCACAGACUCUGUAUUCAAAAACGUACCUCUCUGAGUUAUCUUUACAAACAAGUA
rnacentral:misc_RNA from 1 species